rnacentral:rRNA from 1 species
GCGUGAGUGAUGAAGGCCCUAGGGUUGUAAAUCCCUUUCAGCGGGGAAGAUAAUGACGGUACCCGCAGAAGAAGCCCCGGCUAACUCCGUGCCAGCAGCCGCGGUAAUACGGAGGGGGCUAGCGUUGUUCGGAAUUACUGGGCGUAAAGCGCACGUAGGCGGACUGUUUAGUCAGAGGUGAAAUCCCGGGGCUCAACCUCGGAAUUGCCUUUGAUACUGACAGUCUUGAGUCCGAGAGAGGUGAGUGGAAUUCCGAGUGUAGAGGUGAAAUUCGU